CGCGGGCGGAGGCUUCCGGGGCUGGGGGCGGUGCCACGUGCAGUGCCGGCGGCGCACGGCAGAGGGCGUAGAGGAGCUACCGCCGCCCUCCCGGAUCCCACGGCGCGGUCCGCGACGCCCGCCCUGCCGCCGCCUGGCCGAAGCCUCUCCAAGGCCAAGGCCACCCUCGGCCCCGCCCCGCCGCAACCGCCGCCCCGGAGUGUCGGUCGAAGAUCACCCUAGGCCCACGCCCUCUGCCCGCCCCGGACGCGCCACCCCUUCCUGGGCCUCCCUCCCUCCUUCCGCUCCAGGUCAGCCCCACAUUUCUCCCUGGAGCUCUGAGAGUCUUCCAGAAAAAGUUCCUGAGGAGAGCUCACUGCUGGAGGUCUUGGUCUCUCACACCCUUGGAGCUCAUCUACCCAAGUGAGGCUGAGUGCCCUCCGCCAGUGCAGACAGACCCAGUCCGUGUUGAUGCAAAACCAGAUGAAGAAAAUGAGGCCCAGGAUGGACCUUGUUCUAUCUGGAAAAAGACAGAAAAGGGACCUUAGGACUGGAAAGGCAACUAUAGGAGCAGCACCCCCCUGGUGGCGUUGGGGACCCAAGAAAGCAAAACAUCGGUGUUCAUCCCCAGGAUGAAGCAGGCUGCCUUGUCUGAGCCUGGGGUCUUCGCCAGAGGUGCACCUCAUCAAAGCCCCUGAGAUGCCCCUCCAGGGCCUGGUCCCUGCAGGAGAAACCAAGCUCUAAGGCAGAGGCAAAGGAGCCACACAGCUGCACCCUGCAAGCCUUCUGGAGUC
rnacentral:lncRNA from 1 species